rnacentral:rRNA from 1 species
GUGGAUGAUGUGGUUUAAUUCGAUGCAACGCGAAAAACCUUACCCACCUUUGACAUUACGGAAGUUACCAGAGAUGGUUUCGUGCUCGAAAGAGAACCGUAACACAGGUGCUGCAUGGCUGUCGUCAGCUCGUGUCGUGAGAUGUUGGGUUAAGUCCCGCAACGAGCGCAACCCUUGUCAUUAGUUGCUACGAAAGGGCACUCUAAUGAGACUGCCGGUGACAAACCGGAGGAAGGUGGGGAUGACGUCAAGUCCUCAUGGCCCUUAUAGGUGGGGCUACACACGUCAUACAAUGGCUGGUACAGAGGGUUGCCAACCCGCGAGGGGGAGCUAAUCCCAUAAAACCAGUCGUAGUCCGGAUCGCAGUCUGCAACUCGACUGCGUGAAGUCGGAAUCGCUAGUAAUCGCGGAUCAGAAUGUCGCGGUGAAUACGUUCCCGGGUCUUGUACACACCGCCCGUCACA